ACUGAUACUUUUGAAAAAAAAAAAUAUGUAACCGAAUAAAUAAACUAAUAUGGAUGCAUGAUUUACUAUAGAUACUGCUUUAGAUUGUAGAGAAAUUUACAUUGGAGGACACAUUUUGACUUUCUAAUUACACUAAAGAACACAUCCCACUUGCAACACACAUUUGUCUUACCGUUUGUCCAUUAUACCCUUGAAAGCUUUUUCUCUCUCGUUACCUUCUUGUUGUAACUAAGCAGAUUUUUUUUUUUUUAAAACAAAAUCAUUAACUGAUAAAAUUCUAACUUCCCCAAUUCUCACAAAUCACAAUCUCUAAUCCGCUUAAAUAACAAUAUCUAUCGUUAAUGGAAAGCUACAUCCCUAAACCCCACCGACGGAACCACUCUCCCUCUCUCGUUGAGCUCCAGCAAAAGGCUUGAACCAAUCAUCAUCUCGUUUAACUCAGACAGAGGGCUCUGUUCUUCACCACGAGCAACCACUGGCGCCAUACACACUUAUAAUUCUCUUAGAGCCGCUGCAAUUCCUCUUAGAACCUCUGCAAAUCUGCAAAGACACAAACCCUGCAACUCUAGCCGUAGAUCGUGCAAUGAUUGCAGUUGGAACAACAAUUGGAGUAUGAGUGUGUAUUCUCGUCCCAAUUUCUCUUCUAUGCAAGUCAUCAUAUAUACAAUAGAUUUAGUUUUCUUCUCAGGUUCACUCCGUGUAAAGAAUCAGUACACAAAGGUAUCUGUUUAUGUCUCUUCCGUCUUGCAUUCGGAAAUACUCUUAUCCUGUGUUUUUUUAAAACAUUUUAUUUCUUUGUCUCAAGACCUACCUUUAUGGUUAUCUGUUGAAAAGCCAUCUACCUCUGAAAUUGAAUUAGAUGAAGAUGGUGUUUGGAACAUUGCUGAGGAAAAGGAUAAGAGCUUCAUUGCUAACUGUUUAUGCUUUUGAUAUCUCAUUAUUCAUAAGGUUGACAUUUUGUUUGGCAUAUAUGUUUUGUCACACAAACACAAAUCACCACCAAAUAAUUGUCCAUUGUACAGAUCCACGCACGUCUAUCUAUCCAUAUGUAUAUUUUAUCCAUAUGCAUAUGUUCAUGCA